GUAGUAGUGGGUGUAGCGUACCUACUAGCCUACGACGGGUACGGGUUGUGAGAGCAAGAGCCCGGAGAUGGAUUCUGAGACACGAAUCCAGGCCCUACGGGGUGCAGCAGGCGCGAAAACUUUACAAUGCCGGCAACGGCGAUAAGGGGACCUCGAGUGCCAGGUUACAAAUCUGGCUGUCGUGAUGCCUAAAAAGCAUUGCAUAGCAAGGGCCGGGCAAGACCGGUGCCAGCCGCCGCGGUAACACCGGCGGCUCGAGUGGUAACCGUUAUUAUUGGGUCUAAAGGGUCUGUAGCCGGCCGGAUAAGUCUCUUGAGAAAUCCAGCAGCUCAACUGUUGGGCUUUCAGGAGAUACUGUUCGGCUCGAGGCCGGGAGAGGUGAGAGGUACUUCAGGGGUAGGGGUGAAAUCUUGUAAUCCUUGAAGGACCACCAGUGGCGAAGGCGUCUCACCAGAACGGACCUGACGGCAAGGGACGAAAGCUAGGGGCACGAACCGGAUUAGAUACCCGGGUAGUCCUAGCCGUAAACGAUACUCGCUAGGUGUCGGCCACGGUGCGACCGUUGUCGGUGCCGUAGGGAAGCCGUGAAGCGAGC
rnacentral:rRNA from 1 species